AUCUAGCUGACGAGUUCCAAAUAGGAUAAAACGCAUGUCCAGGAU
rfam:Schistosoma curassoni strain Dakar, Senegal genome assembly, scaffold: SCTD_scaffold0000036